rnacentral:rRNA from 1 species
UACAGAGGGUGCAAGCGUUGUCCGGAAUCAUUGGGCGUAAAGAGCGUGUAGGCGGCUUGUUAAGUCUUGCGUGAAAUCUCGGGGCUCAACCCCGAGCGGUCGUGAGAAACUGGCAGGCUAGAGUGCGGGAGAGGAGAGUGGAAUUCCUGGUGUAGCGGUGAAAUGCGCAGAUAUCAGGAAGAACACCCGUGGCGAAGGCGGCUCUCUGGAACGCAACUGACGCUGAGACGCGAAAGCGUGGGGAGCAAACAGG